rnacentral:rRNA from 1 species
UACGGAGGGUGCAAGCGUUAUCCGGAUUUACUGGGUUUAAAGGGUGUGUAGGCGGGUCUUUAAGUCAGUGGUGAAAUCUCCGGGCUCAACCUGGAAACUGCCAUUGAUACUAUUGAUCUUGAAUUCUGUUGAGGUAGGCGGAAUAAGUCAUGUAGCGGUGAAAUGCAUAGAUAUGACUUAGAACACCAAUUGCGAAGGCAGCUUACUAGCAGAUAUUGACGCUGAGGCACGAAAAGCGUGGGGAGUCAAACAGGA